rnacentral:rRNA from 1 species
UGGGGAAUUUUGGACAAUGGGCGAAAGCCUGAUCCAGCAAUGCCGCGUGUGUGAAGAAGGCCUUCAGGUUGUAAAGCACUUUUGUCCGGAAAGAAAUCCUUGGCUCUAAUACAGUCGGGGGAUGACGGUACCGGAAGAAUAAGCACCGGCUAACUACGUGCCAGCAGCCGCGGUAAUACGUAGGGUGCAAGCGUUAAUCGGAAUUACUGGGCGUAAAGCGUGCGCAGGCGGUUUGCUAAGACCGAUGUGAAAUCCCCGGGCUCAACCUGGGAACUGCAUUGGUGACUGGCAGGCUAGAGUAUGGCAGAGGGGGGUAGAAUUCCACGUGUAGCAGUGAAAUGCGUAGAGAUGUGGAGGAAUACCGAUGGCGAAGGCAGCCCCCUGGGCCAAUACUGACGCUCAUGCACGAAAGCGUGGGGAGCAAACAGGAUUAGAUACCCUGGUAGUCCACGCCCUAAACGAUGUCAACUAGUUGUUGGGGAUUCAUUUCCUUAGUAACGUAGCUAACGCGUGAAGUUGACCGCCUGGGGAGUACGGUCGCAAGAUUAAAACUCAAAGGAAUUGACGGGGUCAUAGCUGUUUCCU